UACGAAGGGGGCUAGCGUUGUUCGGAAUUACUGGGCGUAAAGCGCACGUAGGCGGAUACUUAAGUCAGGGGUGAAAGCCUGUGGCUCAACCACAGAAUUGCCUUUGAUACUGUUUGGCUAGAGACCGGAAGAGGUAAGUGGAACUGCGAGUGUAGAGGUGAAAUUCGUAGAUAUUCGCAAGAACACCAGUGGCGAAGGCGGCUUACUGGUCCGGUUCUGACGCUGAGGCGCGAAAAGCGUGGGGAGCAAACAGG
rnacentral:rRNA from 1 species